AUUGAACGCUGGCGGCAGGCCUAACACAUGCAAGUCGAACGAGUGGCGGACGGGUGAGUAAUGUCUGGGAAACUGCCUGAUGGAGGUGGAUAACUACUGGAAACGGUAGCUAAUACCGCAUACCAUCAGAUGUGCCCAGAUGGGUAUCGCUAGUUGGUGGGGUAACGGCUCACCAAGGCGACGAUCCCUAGCUGGUCUGAGAGGAUGACCUGCCGCAAUGGAACUGAGACACGGUCCAGAAGCCGACAGAAGGCAGCAGUGGGGAAUAUUGCACGAUGGGCUGAGUCCUAAUGCAGCCAUGCCGGGGGUAUUAAGAAGGCCUUCGGGUUGUAAAGUACUUUCAGCGGGGAGGCGUUACCCGCAGAAGAAGCACCGGCUGAAUCCGUGCCAGCAGCCGCGGUAAUUC
rnacentral:rRNA from 1 species